rnacentral:rRNA from 1 species
CCUACGGGAGGCAGCAGUGGGGAAUAUUGCACAAUGGGGGAAACUCUGAUGCAGCGACGCCGCGUGAAGGAUGAAGUAUUUCGGUAUGGAAACUUCUAUCAGCAGGGAAGAAAAUGACGGUACCUGACUAAGAAGCCCCGGCUAACUACGUGACAGCAGCCGCGGUAAAACGUAGGGGGCAAGCGUUAUCCGGAUUUACUGGGUGUAAGGGGAGCGUAGACGGCAUGGCAAGUCUGAUGUGAAAACCCGGGGCUCAACCCCGGGACUGCAUUGGAAACUGUCAGGCUAGAGUGUCGGAGAGGCAGGUGGAAUUCCUGGUGUAGCGGUGAAAUGCGUAGAUAUUAGGAAGAACACCAGAGGCGAAGGCGACUCACUGGACUGUAACUGACGCUGAGGCUCGAAAGCGUGGGGAGCAAACAGGAUUAGAUACCCGUGUAGUC